rnacentral:rRNA from 1 species
GAUGAACGCUGGCGGCGUGCUUAACACAUGCAAGUCGAACGGAAAGGCCCAAGCUUGCUUGGGUACUCGAGUGGCGAACGGGUGCGUAACACGUGGGUGAUCUGCCCUGCACUUCGGGAUAAGCCUGGGAAACUGGGUCUCAUACCGGAUAGGCCGAUGGUUUGGAUGCCAUUGUGGAAAGUUUUUUCGGUGUGGGAUGAGCUCGCGGCCUGUCAGCUUGUUGGUGGGGUAAUGGCCUACCCAGGCGUCGACGGGUAGCCGGCCUGGGAGUGUGUACGGCGACAUUGGGACAGUGAGACGGCGCAGACUCCUGCGGGGGGCAGCAGUGGGGAAUAUUGCACAAUGGGCGCAAGCCUGAGGCAGCGACGCCGCGUGGGGGAUGACGGCCUUCGGGUUGUAAACUCCUAUCGCUAGGGACAAAGCGUUUUUGUGACGGUACCUGGAGAAGAAGCACCGGCUAACUACGUG